rnacentral:lncRNA from 1 species
UGUACAAAAGUGCUCACCUGCUAUUGAUUCUAAAUGUGUGUGUAUGGUUUCCAGAAACUUCAUGUUUGGUGUCGAUCAGGUGAUGGACUUUGGGAAUCAGGACAAAUACAAUCAACUUCAGGGGAGAAAGCUUCAGUUCUUCUGUCAGAUAAUAGUGUUAGUUCGACUGAUUUUUUAUAUUUUCAUAAUUUAUUUUGAAGUGUAAAAGCAUAUUAACGUACUCAUUACAAUGUAGGUUGUCACAGUUCCCAUACAAGAGCUCCUACCCGCCAAUCCCCACAUUCUUGAGGGAGUGGACGAUCUUGUGCAGCUUAGUUAUUUAAAUGAGCCUUCAGUUCUUCACAAUAUUAGAUGCAGAUAUCUACAAGACAUAAUAUAUGUAAGUAGUAAUUUUGGAAAUUCCUAUUAGCGUGUACAGUUAACCACUCUGUGUUUGAGAUCUUGAACAAUACUUUCUCUUCAUUUUACCUAGACUAAGGCAGGACCUGUUUUAGUAGCAGUCAAUCCUUUCAAAGAUGUCGAGAUUUAUGAGCAUGACUAUGUCACAGCAUAUAGGCAGAAGCUUCUGGACAGCCCUCAUGCUUAUGCUAUCGCAGAUGAAGCAUACGAUAAAAUGAUGGCAGGUACUAAACAAUAUCUUACAACUUACAAGUAUAUAGUUGACAUAUCUCUUACGCUGAGGUGCUAAUUCUCAUUUUUCUGUUACUAUAUUUGUGAACUUCGCAGAUGAAACGAACCAGUCUAUCAUUAUAAGGUUUGAUGAAGUUUCUCAACCUCUGUUUUUCAGUUUCUGGGACCCGCUCCUGCUAUGAUGCUUCGAUUUUUUGGUUGACAUUGUAAUGAUUUAUAGGGUUUAAUGCUUGGUUAUGACUUGGAUUUAUUAAUAUGAUUUGUAGUGGAGAGAGUGGUGCUGGGAAAACUGAAACAGCUAAAAUUGUAAUGCAAUAUUUAGCAGUAAUUGGUGGAGGUAGUGGUGUAAUAGAGUCUGAAGUUUUGCAAACAAGCUAUAUACUGGAGGCCUUUGGUAAUGCCAAAACCGCUAGGAAUGACAAUUCGAGCCGAUUUGUGAGUUCAGUCUGAACUUAUGCCUCAAUUUAAAAUGCCUUCAAAGUUAAUAUUUGGCUUUAAACAUAUGAAAGCCUGGCUUGUUGAUAUUCCAAAUUUGAUGCAGGGAAAGCUAAUUGAAAUCCACUUCAGUGCCUCUGGACAAAUAUGCGAUGCAAAAAUACAGACCUGUAAGCAAGCGUUAUUGGCCAAAUUGAAUAUUGGGAAUACUAUUUGUUGAGUUCUGAGUUGUCAUAGUUUUCUGACUUGUUUCCACAAUAUUGUGCAUGUUAAACGUAUGAUUCCAAAACGGUGUAGUCCUCCUUGAAAAGGUCAGUAUGUCUAUCUAAAAUGGUUUUGAUUAUUUUCUUUAGUUUGAAUCUCCCUUUUAACUAACAUUUUGAAACAAAAUAUCACAUUGUAUCAGUCAAGAGUUGUUCAGUUGGCCCUUGGUGAGCGGUCCUAUCACAUUUUCUACCAGCUCUGUUCUGGGGCUUCUUCUGCUCUCCGAGGUGAGCUUUUUCCCAGUUUUCGGAAGUGCCUUUUUCAAUAUUCUUCUCCUUCCCCCCACCCCCUCCCCGACAAAAUAUUUUUUUGGUGACUUCAAAUUAAAAUUUGGUGGUGCUUAAAAUUAUUGUUGUCUUGGUGGUGCUUAAACUUUGAUUAAGUUUCAUCUAUUAUUUUUUCUUCAUGUUAUUCCACAAAAUGUUUUGAACUUAAUGAAUAAGAAAGGUUGUAAGUUUCUGUUAUGUAUGUCCAACCACUCGCUAGAAUUUAAGUAGAACUAAUUUAUUUCCCUGUAGUUACGAUGAAAUUCUGAUGUACAGAAAAUGUGAAUGCCAAUUUCUCUAUGCUGUUGGAACCUUUUUUACUCAAACAAUUUGCUUACAUGCUGAUGUUUGAUAUGCAGUUCAUUCUCUCGUUAUAUGCUUUUUAUCAUCUUAAAUAUAUGUGAACAGAGCCUAUCUAGCAAGAUUAUGACUUAGUAUGACAAUGAUAAAUAUUUUCUUAGGUAGGUUAAGGUUAAAAAAGGCUUCCGACUACAAAUAUCUCAACCAGAGUGAUUGCUUGGAGAUCCACACCAUUGAUGAUGCUCAGAAGUUCCAUACUCUUAUGGUAAUGUAACAGCAUUCACACGUGAUACAUGAAUUAUUCCACUGUAGUUUAGCCCUUAUCCUUACACUUAACGAACACUUUCUUCCACUGCAUCGGAAGAGGUCUGAAUAUUGAGUUUCAAAAUUGUCAUGCUGCUUGAUAACUAAGAACUUAAAUUGAAGAGUGGAUUCUAAGAAUUAAGUUGCUUGUGGAACUUCUACUAUGUCGGGUAUAUUUCUUUUUCCUUUACAGAUUUUUACUAAGUCUUUUAUGUUUUCUCUCACUAGGGAGCCUUAGAUACUGUCAGAAUUUGCAAAGAAGACCAGGAGCAUGUCUUUGAGAUGCUUGCUGCAGUUUUGUGGUUGGGAAACAUAUCGUUUCUUGUAACUGACAAUCAAAACCACAUAGAGGUUGUCGCUGAUGAAGGUACUCGCGUUUUCCUUCGUUACUUGUUAUUUAUAUGCGUGUUUGAGAAUUUUCUUUCGCUUAUUUUCAGGAAUUAGAUAGAUGUAUUCAAUGAAUUUGGUGCUACUAUUUAUUAGUGAUCUUAAUAAGAUAAAUAGUUAAACAUCUUUCAAGGUGGUUAUCAGUGUGUAAAGUCGUUCUUCUUUUUGCAUGUUGAGGCAAGUAUAUUUGCAGAGAAGAAUGAGGAAACUGUUAGAAUGAAUGAUCUCCCCCCUCAAUGCUUCUUUGAUGUAGGAGUGUAGGACUCAUUAGUUUUCCCAUACUGUUUAGAUAUUGGGUGAUUAUAUUGUUCCAUGGUGAUUUCAAUGUGGCGUAUAAGAGUUUAUGGUGUGGGAUUGACUGUUCUCCAUUAACCAAAUAAUUUUUGAGAUCAUUAUAAUCUUUAAAUGCAGAUAAUUUCUUUUUGAGCAUUUUGUGAUUAGUCCGAUGAUACCAAUUAAGUUCUUCGUGGAUGAAUUCACUUAACUAUUUUGAAAUGGUUUCGCCUUAUUUACAGCUGUUACCAAUGCUGCUAGCUUGAUAGGCUGCAGUGAGCCAGAGUUAGUACUUGCUCUGUCAACCCGAAAAAUACAGGCUGGAAAGGAUGAGGUCACCAGAAGGCUGACACUACAACAGGUCCAAUUAUUUAUUUAUUAUUAUUAUUGGACAUUUGCAAUUUCAAAACUAUACAAAUAUUUCAGGCUAGUGCUUUGGCAGAUUCUUGCAUAAUUACAGAAGGCAUAGUUCUCUUGCAUAGAGCCAUAUACAUAAACCAUUUACUUCAUAUACAUCUUUGUUGAAUUGAUGGUGUUUUCCUACUGAUUUAGGCAAUUGAUGCAAGAGAUGCAUUGGCAAAGUUCAUCUAUGUGAGCUUGUUUGACUGGCUUAUAGAAGAGAUCAAUUCAUCGCUUACCACGGGCAAACAUAAUACUGGGCGGUCCAUAAGCAUUCUAGAUUUUUAUGGAUAUGAACCAUUGAAGGUAUAAACUGGCUUAUUUUUUAUAGUUCUUCAUAAUAUGAUAAACCGUUUCUCACUCUUAACUUUUUACUUCACCUUUUUGGAUCCAGAAGAAUAGCUUUCAACAGUUUUGUGUAAAUUAUGCCAAUGAGAGGCUCCAGCAACAUUUUAAUCGACAUCUCUUCAAACUUGAGCAAGAGGUCAGCAUUUUAUAUACGUCUCUUUCCGACGAGUUGAAAAAACAGGGCAUGACUGGGUCAAUUCAUACUUUUAUUUCCUUCUUCACAUGAAAUUCACUAAAGUUGAGCCCUGGCAUUAUUUUUCUACGGGAUUCUCAUAACUACUAAAGCUCCGUGCCUUACAUUCUAAAUAAACAAACAAUUUUAUUUGAAAUUGCAACAUUAUGCAUACUGAUUGUGGAACUUUUUUAUUUGCAGGAGUAUGAGUUAGAUGGAAUUGACUGGACAAAAGUAGGUUUUGUAGACAACGUAGACUGUUUGAAUCUCUUUGAGAAGGUACUUCUCUUCCUCCACUGUAUCAGUAUCCCAUAUCCAACAGAAACCUAUUGGGCUGAUAUCUUUUUGUGUACUUUUUAUGUUUGAAUUUCAUUUUUUACCAUUUUGUGUAUUUCAUGGUCACACUGUUGUGUUUGAACAGAAACCUAUUGGGCUGAUAUCUCUGUUGGAUGAAAUAUCAAAUUUCCCCAAGGCUACCAAUUUAACUUUGGUCGCUAAACUUAAGCAGCACUUGAAUGCUAACCAUUGCUUUAAAGGAGAAAGAGGUGGAUCGUUCAUUAUUCACCAUAAUGCUGGAGAGGUUAGUAUUGCUUGUACCCGAAAGAAAAAGGGGGAAUUAACUUCAUGUACAAAAUUGCUCAUAGAUAUCACUUCAGCUUAUAUGAUUUUAAGACUGUCUGAUAUUGAAUUAUUGAUAUCGGUUGUUCGAAUUAGGUUCUUUAUGACACAGAGGACUUCUUGAAAAAGAACAGAGAAUCAUUGCAUUCUGAAUCCAUUCAACUACUAUCUUUGUGCACCAGUCGAUUUCCUCAAUACUUUACCUCUACGAUGCUCAAGCAAUCUCAGCAUCCAGAAAGUAAAUUUAUGCAAUCGAGCAUGUUUGCUUGUCAAAAGCAAACUGUUGCUACAAAAUUCAAGGUGAUGAGUCUUGUUCUUUCCCCUACUUUUAAGCCCCUUAUUUCUCUCCUCACACACACACAUGUUCAAGAAUUGUUCAUAAUGCCCCUGCCAUUGGCUGUACCGUUAUUGGACAAAACUUCUCGCUAUACACGAUUUCUCUUAUCAAAUUUUGUUCAACGUCCUUCCAUUAUUGCAGGUUCAGCUGUUUGAAUUAAUGCAGCAUCUCGAAAGCACAAACCCACAUUUCAUUCGUUGUAUAAAACCAAAUAGUAAGCAGAUCCCUGCUGUGUUCCAAAAUGAUCUUGCUUUAGAGCAGCUUCGAUGCAAUGGGGUUCUGGAAGUUGUUAGGAUUUCUAGAUUAGGGUACCCCAUCCGAAUGACCCAUCAAGAAUUCGCUACAAGGUUUUUGCCUCUGUCUUGAUUUCCAUUUAUUUCUUGUGCUUAUUAUGGGGCUUGUCAUUAUAUGCUGGCAUGAAUUUCAGGUACAGGUUCAUACUUCCGGAAAGUAUGGCUUGUCAAGAUCAUUUAAGUAUGUCAAUUGCCAUUCUGCAGCAGUUUGAUAUAUUUCCGGAGAUGUACCAAGUUGGUUACACAAAAUUAUACUUCCGGGCAGGACAGGUUGGUGGGAGUGCACCGUCUCUAUGUUUUAAUGAUCUACAAUUAUAAAUAAUUAUAAUGGGUGAAAUACUUCCUGUAUAUUAGUUCGUUUGAUUUUCUGUGUUCUCGAAUGAUAGAUUGUUGCCCUAGAAGAUGUUAGAAAACAAUUUCUUCAAGGUACUCUUGAGGUGCAAAAACUUAGCCGUGCUCGCCGUGCUCGUCUUGACUUCCAUGAACUCAAGGGCAUAGUAGUAAAAUUGCAAUCAUGUGAGGCCAGCAUCUAUUGUUAAUACCUACGAUGCUUUAUAAGAAUCAAAUGAUUUCAUGAGUAUUGCGAUAUCUGCAGAUGUUCGUGGUAAAAGUGCAAGAAAGGAGUAUAAUGUCUUGAAAAAGCAGCACAAGUCAGUGGUGCAAAUACAGUCUGGUAAAAGUUUUCUCCAUUCAGAUUAGAUAUACCUACUGUGAGACUGAGGUAAUUUAUAUCUAACUACAUUCUCUUGUGCAGCAAUUCGUGGAUGGUUGACCCGAAAGAAUUUUGGUCACCUUUGGAAUUCGAAAAAGUCAACUGUUAGUAAACCGAAACCAGGCAGGAGGAUGUCUGAAAGCAAGGUACUUUGUUGCAAAAUGCAUGAAUUGGAUAUAAUAUAAAUCUUGUUAUCUUGUCUGUUAUGAAAAACCGAAACCGAAACCCGAAACCCAAAACCCCGAAACCAGAAACCCGAAAACCUUGACCUGAAACUGAAAACCGAAACUGAAACCCAAACCGAAAUUGAAACCGAAACUGACAUCGAACCGGGAAAAAAAUAGAAAAAAAAAAGAGAAGAAUUUGAUGGAGUUUUCUUCUGUCAAUUUCUUUUAACAAUUUUCUGCUAGUGAUGAUUUUAAUUGGCUGAGCAGGAUCUGUCAGAAACAUUACCUUCGGUUGUUGAAGAACUUCAAAAGGCAGUUUCGAUGGCAGAAGCGACACUUGGACACAAGGAAAAAGAAAAUAUAGCUCUGAGAGAGCAGGUGCGAAAAUACGAGGCGCGGAUGUUAGAAUACGAAAGCAAGAUGAAAUCAAUGGAGGAGAUGUGGCAAAAGCAGACAUCUUUACAAGUGAGUUUAUUUGUUACAAUUAGGGGUGGAAAUAGGACGGAUCCGAUCGGAAUUAGCACUUUCGGAAAUAUUCCAAUUUUUUCGAAAGUCAAAAACUAGUUCUAAUUAUGUUCCAAAAAAAUAUUGAAAAAUUUGGUAAUUGGAAUAAAAAUACUUGUUCCAAAAUUGAAAUUUUUUGAAUUGGAAUCGGUGGAAUUCGGAAUUUCCGAAAUGUUAAUCACUUAUAUUAUAAAAUACAUUAUAAUAUUGAUAUUAUAAGUGUAGUUUUAAAAAACAAAUUGGAAUUUUUGGAGAUAAAAAUGUGAUUGGAAAUCGGAUUUAUAAUAUAUAUUCCAAUCCCGUUCCAAACAAAGAUCGAAAAAAUCGGAAAUUAGAACCUUAGGAAUCGAAAAUAUUCGGAUCAAAAUUGGCGGAUUUCGGAUAUUCCGUUCCAAUUUCCACCCCUAGUUACAAUAUACGUAUGUAGGAUUGCUCAUAUUAUGUCCGAAAAAAGUACAUUCCUUACAAUUGUUUUGAUUUUUGCAGCUGAAUUUGGCUGCAGCCAAAAACAGUCUUAUUACAGACAAUGCAACGGGUCGAUCCGGAAAAAGAAACGGGUUCCAAUCUCCCCUUUCUUACGACUCCGAAGAUACGUCUAUGGGAACUCAUACACCCGGUGGUAACACCCCCGUCAGAUUUUUCAACAAUGGUGUAAAUUCCCUAAAUACCCUCGCAAACGAGUUUGAGCAAAGGAAAAGAAACUUUGAUGAUCAAGUACUAGCAAUAGUAGAGGUCAAAACAGGGAAUUCGCCACCCGUGAAUCCAGUGGAGGAGUUUCGAAGACUGAGACGAAUGUUCGAUGCUUGGAAAAAAGACUACAAGGCUCGGUUAAAGGAAGAGAAGGCUAAAGCACACAGGAUCGAAGGUGAGAAACAUCGACGAAGAUGGUGGGGAAUGAGAAAGUAAAAAAAGAAGAUUACCGCAGCGUUAACUAUAGUAAUCUAUAUUAGAUGUUGUAAGAUGAUUAUAUAUAUCUAUAUCUAUAUAUAUAUAUUAUAUAUAUGUCAUAUCAAUUUUGUUGUUCGUCCAAUGGAGAGUCGUUGUAUAGUGUGUGUUUUAUUUCAAAAAAUUAUGAAGUAUGCAUAAAUUAUGAAAAUCCUACUUUUAUUUCAAAAAAUUACAUUUACUUCUCUCAAACUAAUAAUGCGUCAAAAUUCCUAACAAAGAUAGUGAAAUGACUAAAUUGUCCUUAUUUUUAUCCUUGCAUUAAAAUGAAGGGUAAAUUACACCUACACUCCUGAGGUAAGCUAAAAUAACUUUAAAGACCAUGUAAUAUUGGUAAUUACAGCCACAUCCCUGAAACAAUUACCGAAGCUAAGAUUUCAUGUCAUGGGAUAGAUAUGCACUAUAUUUGUUUUCGGCUGGGCCGUCAAUGCUACCAUGAACGAAAAUUUAUAAAUCAUAUAUAACAUAAUAAUGAAUUAAGAGAUGUUGGGGGGACCAAUUUCAACAUCUAUGUCUAUGUUGUCUCCAUCAUUGUCUGAAACUAAUAGUCCAUUAGAACUCUAGCAGAAUAACUUAUCUCAUGCAUUAUUCUAUUAGGGCCUCUUUGGUUGGAGGGCUUCGAAAUAUAGAGAGGGAUGGGAUGGUUAAUAUUGGGAUAGAAGUGUUGACAAGUUAUACUUACUACGGCAUUUGGUUCGUGAUAUUGUCUCGGUACUAAUAUUCCCAGACUAACAAUACGCCGUUUUGUGUACUUGAUUCCUGCAGAUAUAAUUGGUAAUUUCCGUUAAAGCCCUUCACAUAUAAUAAUAUAUCAUGUUUUCAUAAAGCCCCAAUCAGCAGUAAUUUUUAACCACAAUUUCGAACCCUAAAUUGGAAAUCGGUAAAACAAAAAAUCUGCCAUUCAAUCGAGCUAAAUCGUUGAACUCGUUACAUUGUCAUGAGUUCUGGUAGUAGUAGCUCCCAUCGGAGAAGUGGCAGCAACAAUUUCAGCGGAGUGAAGCUACAUCGGGAAAUGCCAAGAUAUUGCGAUUGCGGGUACAUGGUCGCCGUACAAACUUCAUGGACGGCUACAAACCCAGGACGACGGUUCGUAGCUUGCCCUGAACGGGGGGUAAGUUCUUUCCCCACUAAAUCAACAUUGCUAGAUUUAUUUUAAGUAAUUAGGUUUGCGUAUUACUGAACCUUAAUGGGCGCGAUUUUGAUGUUGGGCAACUGUUUGGUUAGAAGUUAAAACCAAAGCAUGGCUGUUGCAAUUGUUUGUUAGUGUUAUUCACUGGUUCUUCAAUAUUGGAACACUUAUUUUAAGAUUUUGGUUUAUGCAAUGAAUUAUCCGGUGUCGUAGUGAAUGCCUUGUUCUUAAUCAUGACAACUGAGAAUUUCAACGCUGCUAAUCUGGUGUCGUAAUGUAAUGACUAAUUCUAACAUUAGUUCGUAAUGUACUGACUAAUUUCAAUUGUAAGUUCAUAUUCGUACAAUAUGUUUGAUGCUACCUCAUUGAACAUACAAUUUCAGGUUAGUGGUUGUCGUUUCUUCAAUUGGUGUGAUCCUGAAAUGUGUGAUAGAUCGAAGCAAAUUAUACCAGGCUUGCUCAAGAGAAUCAACUAUUUGGAGGCGCAAGUUCCAUUGGAAGUCUCCGCGUUGGUUAAGAAGAUAUCGGAAUUGGAAUCCCAGUUGCAGCAGCAGAGUGAUGGGAAUCGGGGGAAACGGGGAUCUUGGUUUUUGUCAACCCGUUUAGUUUUGUGGGGGGCUUCGGUAUCAGUUGCUUGUUUAUUUUGUUAUUGUGUGGUUGUGUUGUAAUAUGUUAUCAGCAUUUGUAUUGCGUAAUAUAGAUGAUACUCACAUUUCAGCUUUCAAAUAUUAGGUCUAUGUCGUUAUAUUUAUUUCAUUGUGUUUUUAACGACUUUUGCAAAAGGGAGAAUAAUACGAAGACACAACCAUCUGACUUAACAAACGCAAAAUAGUUCUUCCUACAAGGUGACGUACUACCACAAAAUUCGGAAUCUUAGUUCCGCGCUUUUAACAUUCAUACUUAAAACAAUAAAAAAAAGAAACAUAGUUCCAUCACAGUACCACAUAAAAAAAAACAAGAAAUUAAAAUAAGUGUUCUUAAGAUCGAAACAGAAAUAUCCAAAUUUAAAACAAACAUGGCCUAAAACAUAAAACGUUAUCGUUACGCGGAGCGAAAUUAGGGUACAUCAACCUGAUUCAUGACACCUGCGAAUGGAACGAGUGCACGAUUUUCCGGAGGAACCUGUUGAGGAUCAACAAUCUCGCCAUCUUCAUCCCCUCCGUGAAUGAUGAUUGGAUUAUCGCGAUGGUAUCCGGUGAAACCUCGAAAGUUGGCUACGGGAGCUUCUUUGUCAUCGAACACGUAUUUGCAUUGUUCGUAGAACCGAAAUCCAUUAACCCUAAAAGCCCUCUCUUCUUCCGUCUCCUACAAAUUGAAUGCAUAUUGUUUCGUUAUUAUCACUGAUUGACAAUGUAUUAAACGAAGCACAUAAAAAUAAAAAAAUUAAUAAUCUUACACGACGGUCCAAAUGCCAGAAACUUCUAUCCAAUGUCACCUUCCUCUUCGAGCGGAUGAACGUCACACCAUCCUGAUCGAUGUAUCCCUUGAAUGCUAAGUAACGUUUUCGAAACCAUUCCAAUCUCCACUUGAUGUCAACCUCCGCAAAGUCUCUUGAGAAAUGAUAGUUCAUUGUCAUGAUAACUUCGAAUAAGAGGUCUUCGUACGCCUCUUCGUUUUGCAACGUAUCCACGGAGCGUGAAAAUCUGGCAGCGGCAUUGAUUAGGCACUCAUCGUACGCAACGGGCCACGAUUCAUUGUUCAUCCUGGCCAAAUGAACCUGAUUGCGGGUUCUUGGUCUCGACAUUACACCUAAAACAAUGGAAGAUUAAUUAAUUAGACGAACAAACCACACCGAAACAAUAUUAACAAAUAUAAAUAUAAACGGACGUCAAUGUAAAACUGCCAAGAUUAUGCAAACCUUAGAAAGUUGAUGAACGCAACAAUUGCAAUUUCUGAUUUACCAAAUGUGAACGCAAACCCCACAAGUUGUACCCGAAAUAAAUGGAGCCCUAAUGGUAUUUAAUGUACAAAAGAAGAGGCAUUCAUUGGUUGCACCUUUCGGUCAUAUGCGCCGGUCGAUGUACACGUCAAUACAAUGUAUUUGUAUUGUGUGUUUAAUGCAUGAUAAUAAAUUUCUUAGGCUGCAAAGAAAUGAUUAAUCACUGUUUACGAGAGCUCUUAAUGCACACCUAACCAUUGUCUAUUCGAAUUCAUUCCCAUUUUUUUCAAGAACAAUUAAAGUUCUUCCUUAUUUUCAUCUGCAAUAAGUAGUUGAAGUCCUGCAAAUUCCAUUAAACCACCCCUUUUUUCCAAUUAAAAACGUCAAAAAUGACAACUGAAAGACAAUGAUGGGAUCGAAUGACAUGGUAAAUAGUACCAAUUCUGCACUUCAUAUCUAAAAAAUUUUGUGUUAAUACUUUAUAUUUAUGUUACUGCUACCGAAAUAAAUUUAGCCCAUUAAGAUGCUUACCUAACACCUUAAAUACCUAUUUCAUUUAGUUAUAUAUGCGGAGUGUUUGUAUAACAAGUUAAAACAAAUGUAAGUACUAAAUCCCAUAUGCAUAGUUAGCAUGGCUCCAAAAAAGAAACCAAUUUGUAGGCAAGAAGAUUUUCUAUACGAGUUAGAGUGGACUGAAGCAAUCGAUGACUAUUUCGUGGAGUUACUGACGUGGGAAUCUAGUCUGCACAAUUUCGACCGUAAUGGGGCAAAUACUCUUGCUCUAUUGAGUUGUCAAGAGUUGAUUCAGCACAAAUUCGACAAGUGGUUCUCAUACAAGCAUUUGAAUAAGAAGAUGAUGUUAUUAAAAAAGAGGUUUGUUACGUUUCAUUGGAUAUUGUCACAGGAAGGGGUAGCAUAUAAUGCAACAACUAACAUCAUCUCUGUGUCCAAAGAUGUGUGGAAAGAUAUAUUAAAGGUUAGUACGUAAGCAAAGUUUAAUUAGUAUUGUUUUCCUAACAAACGUUAUGUUCUUAAAUAUACAUUACUUCUAUUUUUCAGACAAGUCAUUAUGCCGGAGCUUAUAACCCCGUUGGCGAAAUACGGUAUCACGAGUUGAAGUGUAUUUUUGGAAGUGACCCCGUGGUUAACCCAAAUGACGGUGAGGAGAUUAUCGUUCUGUCUUCCGAUGAUGAGGAGCCAAAAAAGGAUGAGGACCUGAAUGUGGGUGGUGUAGCAAAUCCAAUUGGAGCGGACCGAUUUGGAGUCAAUGCCCAUGCAUUUGACCUAAUGGCCCAACAAGAGUUUGCCAAUGUUGGCCGUACUGAUCCCAAGACGGUCAUCAACAUUUCUUCGGGUGUAUGGGGCGAUGGUGAUUUAGAUAUGAUGCCUCACCCUCCCCAAAACUACGUAUCCGAUUCCGAGGGUUCAAGGGACACCGAAGUAAGCACGGCUAACUCACGUUUUGUGGAUCAACCUUCCGCCAAGGGUAGUUCUAUGUUGAGAUCGAGGGCUGAUUGUGCAAACAAAUUCAUGCCUUUCGGAACUCCAAAGAGCUCGACCGCUUCAAACAAACCACCGUUGGGUGCAUUUUAUACCCCCGAAAACAAUGGAAUGUGAACGUUUGCGUGAUUGGACUUUAAAUGUAUGUUUUUUUUGUGCAUGUGCCAUAGGUUACGUGCUUCAGUACUAGAAUAGUAUUUGUUUGCCUUUUCAUAGUAUGUAGGCAAACUCAUAUCCUACUUGGUAUUAGUGCUAUGUUUUUUCAAUUAGAUCUUUAUAAGCUUUGUUCUGUCAAUUAAUAACGAUUACCGUAUACAAUGAUACCAAAAUAUAGCAAGGUAUUGCGGAAAUUAAAAUACUAUAUAAUCAAGAGUCGGGUCAAACAUAAAGUCGUACAUAGAUAAAGUUCACAAGAAGCAGCAAAAUGCAAAUGUAUCAUUACAUUAAUGUUCAUAUUAAAACCCAAAUAACCAGUUAAUACCGCCCUUCUAAGAUCAAAUCCACCAUAUUUGCUUUGUGGUCCUCACUCAAACAGAAAAAGAUGUCUAGGUCUUUGCUAUUGUCACAAAUUCUAGAAGUGACUUUGAGCCUUUCCUCGAAAGUGAGAUGUUGCAAGUUUUCGAGGGCAUCAAACACUUGUUUCCGUGCAGUCGACACAUCCUUCUCGAAGCCCAUACGGCUUACAAGUUCGUUCAUUUGGGACUCCAUUUUCUCAAAAAACUUAGACGUCAUCUCAAUAUACCCACUUUCAAUCGCGUCACCGCGUUGCCGCUUCUUCGAUUUGGAUUUAGUUUUUGCAGAAGUUGCUUCAUCAGCCCGGCUGAAUGUUUGGUAUUGUGAGUAGUUAUCGGAUCGUGAAAGAUCUACUUGUGGGACGUAUUCGUCGUCGUUGGAACAAGGUUCUUUACCUUUCGAGUUGGUGACCAAAUCGUUGAUGGCUUCGACAAACGUUUCAGCAUGUUCACCCGUGGCACGGUCCUUUCCAAAGACCGUAGUCCAGUCUUUGUAAAAUGGCCAUGACUUGUACCUCAUGGAACGGGCAUUAGCAUCCGUCUAGGUAAACAUGGCAAACAAAAUAAUACUUAGAAAUGCGUAUUAUGAAAUCAGUGCAUUGAGCACCAUGAGUUAUGAAAAAGGAUUUAGUAGUUUGAUCUACCUUUACGUACUCUUGCCAAACUUGUUCAUCAAUGACUUCAAUGGUAUUGUUUGUUUCAUUCCAGCCGAAUCCCGACCUCGAUAACAUCGUGCUUAGCGAUGCAUAAUGUUUUUUCCACACGUGUAUCUUAGAAUGGAUAUGUGGGGUUGCUUUGAGGUCGGUACCGGGGAAUUUUUGUACCAUAUAUUGUUCAAGAGUUCCUAGAAAACCAGUUUUAAAUCCAUUUUCACAUUUCCAUCCCCUCGAGACAAUAUCUUUCAACCCUAAUACUAAAGUCUGCUCUUCAACUACAGUCCAACUACGUCUGUUAUUGAUGACCCCGUUCUUAUUGUUUGUACCUUUUUUCGAACCAGCAUUAGAUUCCAUGAAGCCUGAAGUUUUUUGACGUAAAUGUAUUAACAAAAACGAAGUCUUACAAACAAACAUGCAAUUAAACAACCAGGUUUUCCAAAUGUAACGUCUCUUACAACAGAAAUUGGGUGAAGAAUGAAGCGAAUUGUAAUUAAAUAUUGUCGUUGAGUACCCAUGUACAUAUACAAACAUACCCGUGGGGACUCGUAGACCAUUGUCUCUAGUGACUGCAUCCCUGAAGAAUUCUACUAUCGGCUUGGUCCAUUCUUCUGAACUUUCUACUGUAUUAAUAUAGUCUUCUCCACUAAUUAUUCCUGGAUUUUUACGGAAAAAAUCAUCUAAUGUUUCUUCUUCGGGGUCAAAGUCAUUGGUUGUUCGUAUGAAAUUAUGUAACAGGCAACAAGCCAUUAUGAUCCUAUUUUGAACUUUAAUGGGAUAGUAAGAGGUACUUCGUAGAAUGGCCCAACGUGACUUCAAAAGACCAAAUGCCCUCUCGAUGAUGUUUCUUGCCUNNNNNNNNNNNNNNNNNNNNNNNNNNNNNNNNNNNNNNNNNNNNNNNNNNNNNNNNNNNNNNNNNNNNNNNNNNNNNNNNNNNNNNNNNNNNNNNNNNNNNNNNNNNNNNNNNUUCGUGUAACCGUUACAAACAAACAGGCAAGUAAACAACCAGGUUUUCCAAAUGUAACGUCUCUUACAACAGAAAUUGGCUGAAGAAUGAAGCGAAUUGUAAUUAAAUAUUGUCGUUGAGUACCCAUGUACAUAUACAAACAUACCCGUGGGGACUCGUAGACCAUUGUCUCUAGUGACUGCAUCCCGAAGAAUUCUACUAUCGGCUGCCGAUCCUUCCCACCCGGUUAGUAAGUAAAUAAAAUUCAUAUUGUCAUCGCAAACGGCUAACACAUUAACAGACACAUUGCCCUUGCGAUUCCUAUAUCUUGGUUUAUCAAGACAAGGUACACGACAAUCUAUAUACGUUCCAUCUAGUGCACCAAGACAACCCUAAAUAGUUUAUUCAUGACGAGGAUAGUGAUUUAGAACAAUUUUUACUAGUAGUUGUAAUAUGAAAGUAAUUACAGUGAACAUACAUUUAGUACCUUAAAGUAUGAAAACCGCUCGUUUUCUGAAUUUUCGCCAACCGGCUUAGGGGCUAUUAAAAGCAUUUCGUGUAACUUCAACAAGGCUACAAGUACCUGAUUAAAAUGCUUGCUAACAGUGUACCCUGAUCUAUUGAAAUGGCUUUUAACAACAACAUUUUUGGUGUGAUGAGCCAAAAUUUGAAGAAACAUUGCCACUUGCUCGGGUACGGUGACAUUUCUAUUCGGUUUAAGACCACCAACAUUUUCUAAAACAUAACAUAAACGAUAGAAUGUUUGAAUAUUCAUUCUAAGAUUAUCACGACAGGCAACAUCGUUGAACCAACUAUAGAACGCAAAUAUUGGAGUUGGGAAGGUGUUCUUCCUAUCAUACUAUAAGUUCGAUUAUAGCUAUCCGUAGACCUCAAACAACGACGCUUAAAUGUGGGAAUAAUAUGCAUCGACACUAAAAAGAAAAUCCUCAAGCUAAAAAUUAGUUGGUGCAAAACAACUAUUAUUUCUUCUUCUCGGUUUGACAAAGCCAUCCUAAGCCAAGAAGUUCCUACAAAAUAUAUGCACAAAUCUGUUUAACCAGAAAAGCCCAAUCGUGAUUCCUGCCACACGUUUACAGAAUUGGGACGUGAGCAGUACAGAGAACAUCGAACUCUCAAAUAGAAUGUCAAAAUAAUGGAUGAAUAUGAACGCAAACAAAUUGAAACAAAUUUCGCUAUCAUACGAUACACAUUUGUAAAUCUAAUGAUACACAGAGCACUAGCAGACAAUUAAUAUACAGAUGACCAAAAUGAUACAUAUAUAGCAAUUGAUUUAGUACCUGUAGCAAUCGAGAUCCGCUUACGAGAACUGAGCGAUGUACAAUCCAACGAAUUAAGCCAAACCCCCUAUGGACUCUCUUGAAGAUCAAAACCCUAAAUCUGUAUAAUGGCAACGGAAAAUUCCCAAUGAAAACAAUCUGCAAUUUCAUAUACACUGCAAUUUUAAAAAACGCAACGACCCUGCAAUUUCAUAUUACCUUUCCGCUAAUGUUGGGUGUGGCUGAACGGGAAGCUUCAAUUACAGUCUGCUCUUCAGGUAUGACUGGGUAAAAUUAGGGCAGCAAAUUCACGGGGAAUUUGACGAAUGUGCGUUUAUAUAUGUGUGUAUAUUUGUAAUUUUUUCAUUUCUUGAGGGCAACUUAGACAUUACACACGCCACCCAGAUGUAUGGACUAUCACGUGUUAAUUAGUCAAGCCAAAUUUGGCUUGACAAAUAAUAAAUCAUAUGCGUGAUAAAUCAAGUGGGACCACAUAUCCCGAGACAUUGUGACAGCCGAACCAAACACCGUAUACGGAGGGACUUUUCGUCCCAUCAGGCGUAAUAACGCGUACCAAAUGAGCCCUUAGGGUUUAUGACAAUGUUUCAGGGGUGUUUGAAAUUACGGAUACCAUAGGGACCUUAAAGUUAUUUUAGCAUACAUCAGGGGUGUAAGUGCAAUUUACCUAAGAUGAUUUUUUUUCUUCUUCUUAAUAUUUGUUUUUAUGAUACCCAUUAUAUCCCUACGACUAUAUUAAAAUAUGAUUUAGCAAUGAUUAAUUAGACAUAAUGAACAACUUCGUCAUUGAAAAUUGAAUAAAUCAGGUGAUGGAUGAUAAUAUGAACAAAUGAUGCAAUAAAAAUUACACGUCUUGCAUUCAAUCAAAACAUUCAAGAUCGAGGUUCGAUCUCUUUCAUCAAAAUCUACGAUCCAGGCGCGAACUUGGUCGCGAAAACCCACGCAUUAUUCGCAACGGGGUUAUCAAGGUGGUCCAACAAAUUCUCCAACGGCCCCUUUCCUGUCACAAUCGCCUGCACAAAGAAUCCAAACAUGGAGAACAUAGCCAAUCUCCCGUUCUUGAUCUCCUUCACUUUGAGCUCCGCAAAAGUGACGGGGUCAUCAGCCAAACCGAGGGGGUCAAAAUACUGACCCCCUGGGUAGAGGUCAUUGCCAUCUCCGACUCCAUCUAGACCGUUGAUUCUGAACCCUUCAACGGCUCCCAUUAGCAAGACUUGGAAUCCAAGAACGGCUAGGAUGCUCUGCGCGUGGACGAGGUUGGGGUUUCCUA